AACGAACGCUUGCGGCGCGCCUAAUACACGCAAGUCGAACGCCGUAGCAAUACGGAGUGGCGCACGGGUGAGUAACACGUGGAUAAUCUGCCCUUCAGUGGGGAAUAACCAACCGAAAGGUUGGCUAACACCGCAUGAGACCACAGUACCUGCGGGUACAGAGGUUAAAAUUUAUUGCUGAAGGAUGAGUCUGCGCGGGAUUAGCUAGUUGGUGGGGUAAUGGCCUACCAAGGCAACGAUCCCUAGCUGGUCUGAGAGGAUGACCAGUCACACUGGAACUGAGACACGGUCCAGACUCCUACGGGAGGCAGCAGUAGGGAAUAUUGCGCAAUGGACGAAAGUCUGACGCAGCGACGCCGCGUGAGUGAUGAAGGCCUUAGGGUCGUAAAGCUCUGUUGAAUGGGAAGAAAAAAAUGACGGUACCAUUCGAGGAAGGACCGGCUAACUUCGUG
rnacentral:rRNA from 1 species